rnacentral:rRNA from 1 species
GACGAAGGAUGCAAGCGUUAUCCGGAUUCAUUGGGUUUAAAGGGAGCGUAGGUGGCCUUAUAAGUCAGUGGUGAAAUCUCUGGGCUUAACCCAGAAAUUGCCAUUGAUACUGUAGGGCUUGAGUAUAGUUGCCGUUGGCGGAAUAUGACAUGUAGUGGUGAAAUACAUAGAGAUGUCAUAGAACACCGAUUGCGAAGGCAGCUGACGAAACUAUAACUGACACUGAGGCUCGAAAGUGCGGGGAUCAAACGGG